rnacentral:rRNA from 1 species
AAGGGGGGAAUUAAUAAAAAAAGAUUAUAAAAAAAAUUUUUAAAAAUAUUUUGGGGGGUUAAAGUAUUUUUAUAGAAAAAAUUUUAAGAUUUAUAAAGAAUUAGUAUUGUAAAAGAAAUUUGAAAAAUUAUGAAAAAUAAUAUAUUUAAAAGUAAAUUUAAGUUAUUGUAUCUUGUGUAUCAGAGUUUAUUAAAAAAAUAAUUUAAGAAAAUUAAUUUCGAAUUUAAAAGAGAUAAUUAAUUAAAAAAGUUAAUGUUACAUAAUUAUUUUUAAUAAUUAAUUGGAAAUGAAAAGUUAAUCGUUUUUAAAGAUAUCUAGUUUUUUUAGAAAAAAAUUAAAUUUUAAAUUAAAAAUUUUUUAAUAAUUAAUUUAUUAAUUAUUAAAAAUUUUAAUUAAAUAUUUUAGGGGAUAAGCUUUAAAUUAAAAAUUUAUAAUAAAAAUAAAAAUAAUUGAAAUUUUUAAAAUUUAUAUUUUUUAAAAAUUAUAAUUUAUUAUAAAUAAUUUCAUUUAUUUAAAAUUUAAAAUAAUAUUUAAUUUUCUAUAAAAAUAUAAUUUUAAAUAAAAUAAAAUUAGAAUUAAUGAUAAAAUUAGUAUAUAAAAUAAAAUUAUAAAAAAAAAAUUAUUAUAAUUAAUAAAAAGGAAUUCGGCAAAAAUUUAUGUUCACUUGUUUAUCAAAAACAUGUCUUUUUGAAAAUAAUUUAAAGUCUAAUCUGCCCACUGAAUUUAUUUAAAGGGCUGCAGUAUAUUGACUGUACAAAGGUAGCAUAAUCAUUAGUCUUUUAAUUGGAGACUUGUAUGAAAGAUUUGAUGAGAUAUAAACUGUCUCUUUAUUAAAAAUAGAAUUUAAUUUUUUAGUUAAAAAGCUAAAAUUUAUAUAAAAGACGAGAAGACCCUAUAGAUCUUUAUAUUUAAUUUUUUAUUUUUAUUAUAUAAAAUUUAAAAUUAAUAUAAAAUUAAAUAUUUUAUUGGGGUGAUAGAAAAAUUUAAUAAACUUUUUUUAAAAAUUAAACAUUAAUUUAUGAAUUUUUGAUCCAUAAUUUAUGAUUACAAGAUUAAGUUACCUUAGGGAUAACAGCGUAAUUUUUUUUUUUAGUUCAUAUAAGAAAAAGAGUUUGCGACCUCGAUGUUGGAUUAAGAUAAAAUUUAAAUGCAAAAGUUUAAAAUUUUGAUCUGUUCGAUCAUUAAAAUCUUACAUGAUCUGAGUUCAAACCGGCGUAAGCCAGGUUGGUUUCUAUCUUUAUAAAAAUAAAAUAGUUUAGUACGAAAGGAUCAAUUAUUUUAAAUAAUUUAAAAAUAAGAAUAUUAUUAAUAUAAUUUU